rnacentral:rRNA from 1 species
AACGAACGCUGGCGGCGUGCCUAACACAUGCAAGUCGAAUGCGAGUUUCCGCUUCGGUGGAGAGGAGCAUGGCAGACGGGUGAGGAACCCGUAUCUAACCUACCACGGGAUGGGGGGAUAGUCCUGCGAAAGCGGGGGUAAUACCGCAUACGCUCGUUCGGGGCAACCUGAGCGAGGAAAGCUGGCCUCUACAUUAUGCUGGCGUCCGGUGAGGGGGAUGCGUCCUAUUAGUUAGUUGGUGGGGUAAUGGCUCACCAAGACGACGAUGGGUAGCUGGUCUGAGAGGAUGAUCAGCCACACUGGGACUGCGACACGGCCCAGACUCCUACGGGUGGCAG